rnacentral:lncRNA from 1 species
AAUAAUUAAACAUACUUAUUAUUAUGCUUAUAUAGCUAUUAUAAUCAUCAUAAUCAUAAGCACUUGCCAUAAACUUCAGCUAACGAUCAGACAACAACAACCUAGUGGAGUAGGAGUAGUAACACAAUGUCCUAUAACAUAGUACAUGUCUUGACAGUACUUAUAGCAAGCAUCAUCUUUUAGGUGCUGAGGAUCUGGACAAAAUAAUUUACUUGCUUCAUCAAAGCACUGCAUACUCUCCUUCUCAUACAUUGUUCUUGCUGCCAUUGUGCAAAUUGUUGCUUCUGCAAUAUUCAAUACACAUUGUGGUCAUUAGAAUUUGUAUGUGCAAAAAAUAUAUAACUUCUUUGAAAAUAAAUAUAUUUGUGAAAAAAUUAUAAUAUAAAGACAAAAUUGGUUUUUACUUCCAUAGGGCAUUUUUUUUCCUUUUUCUUCAGAAAAGUAUAAUAAAUAAAUGCCCUUAAUAUCUAUCCAAAAUUUUAAUUUUGUUCUUAAAUUUUAAAAGAUUUUAAUUUUUUUCUACGAUGUUUUUUUACCACGACAAACUAGGGACUAAUAUGUUACAAAUUAUAACUCCGUUUAAAGGUUUAUCGUUAACCAAUGAGUAGUUACAUGCACAAAAUAAAAUUUAAACAUAUAACACUUUUUUAAGCAGAUAAGUAAACUAACCACUUGACCAACCUAAGUACGAGAGUAUGCAUAUCGAAUCCGAUUGGAUAUGACCAAAAUCUCUAUCCAAUACACCCUAAAAUCAUCAGAUUGGAUUUAAUAUGUGUUUCAAAUCGGAUCUAGUAUAUUUUUUGAGAAAUACAUAUUUAAUGUUAGUUUUUUUGUAAGAUUCUCUAACAUUAAAUAUGUAUUUUUCAUACAUUAGAGAUUGAAUUUUGAUACAAUCUUUUGCAAGCAUAAUUAAAAAAAUGAGAUAUUAUUAUCCUUAAAAUUUGGUAAUUUUUCGUUAAGUAUAUUUUUUUGUAAUUUUUUUGUUAACAACUAAUAAUACUUUUAAAAAAUUACAAAAAAAAUAUAUACUUAUAAAAAAAUUACCAAAUUUUAAGAAUAAUAAUAUCUCUUUUUUUAAUUAUGCUUAAAAAAAUCACAUCAAAAUUUAAUAUCUAAGAUAAUUUUUAAAAAUAUAUAUUUACUUUUAGUAAUUUUUGUUGCGUUUUUAAAUUAUUUAAAGAAUUUUUGUCAAAAGUCACCAAAAAAAAAGAGAAUUUUUGUCAAUAAUAAAAUUUAUGUGUAUUUUUAUCAGCAUUUAAGUAAUUCGAAGAUAUUUUUUGUGGUUAACCUGUAUGGCUGUAUAUAUAUAUUGGCUCGGCCUUCUUAGAGAGCCUUCUUGCAAGAAAAUCCAAUAAUAAUUUAUCAAUUCACAUAUUUGUUGUAUUCGUUCUGUUUCAAAAUAACCGUGGUUUUAUUUUUUUUAAAUACAUUAAAAAAUUUAAUAAAUUUAGACCUAUUUGUAUUAGACACACUAUUUUUUAAUAUAUAAAAAAAGUCAAAGAAAUCAUUAUUUUAAAAUGGAUGGGGAAAUAUUUUUGCUUACCUGAAGCCAAAAGCAGAGCAACAAGAAGAUUGCAUAAGAAGAUUUUUGUAUAACCAUUGAUAGCCAUUGUAGAAAAGUUUGUUUUG